UGUGGGAAAGGAGACGCACAUCAUGGAGGCAAAGCCAAAUGUAGAAGUGAAGUGUCCUAUGACCCAGGCAGGGCCUUCUCUAUUAGCAGUCCCAUGAUGGGUGAGGGCUGGUGACAUGGUUAAUGCUUAACCCAAAUUGCUUUUUUCUUUUUUUAAAUUAACAUAUGAUGUAUUGUUUGCUUCAGGGGUACAGGUCUGCGAUUCAUCAGUCUUAACAUAAGUCACAGCGCUCACCAUAGCACAUACGCUCCCUAAUGUCCGUCACCCCACCACCCCAUCCCUCCCACCCCCCUUCCCUCCAGCAACCCCCAGUUUGUUUCUUGAGAUUGAGUCUCUUAGGGUUUGUCUCCCUCCCUCGUUUUGUCUUGUUUCAUUUUUCUCUCCCUUCCCUUAUGAUCCUCUGUCUUGUUUCUCAAAUUCCUCAUCUCAGUGAGAUCAUAUGAUACUUACCUUUCUCCAAUUGGCUUAUUUCACUUAGCAUAAUAGACUCUAGUUCCAACCACAUUAUUGCAAAUGGCAAGAUACUGGGCUUUUUUGAUGCUACAUAACAGUCCUGUGUGUGUGUGUGUGUGUGUGUCCCAUCUUCUUUACCCACUCAUCUGUUGAUGGACAUCUAGGCUCUUUUCAUAGUUUGGCUAUUGUGGACAUUGCUGCUAUAAAUAUUGGGGAGCACGUGCCCCUUCCAGAGUGGCUGCACCAGCUUGCAUUCUUACUAACAAUGUAGGAUUCCCCUGUCUGCAUCCUUGCCAACGCCUGUUAUUUCCUGACUUGUGAAUUUUAGCCAUUAUGACUGGUGUGAGGUGGUAUUUCAUUGUGGUUAGGAUUUGUAUUUCCCUGAUGCCGAGUGAGGUUGAGCACUUUUUCAUGCAUCUGAUGGUCAUUUGGAUGUCUUUGCAGAAAUGUCUCUUCAUGUCUUCUGCCCAUUUCUUGAUUGGAUUCUUUGUUCUUUGGGUGUUGAGUUGGUAAGUUCUUUAUAGCUUUUGGAUACUAGCCCUUUUUCUGAUAUGUCGUUUGCAAAUAUCUUCUCCCAUUCUGCCAGUUUCUUUUGGGUUUUUGACUGUUUCUUUUGCUGUCCAAAAGCUUUUGAUCUUGAAGUCCCAGUAGUCCAUUUUUGCCCUUGUUUCCCUUGCCUUUGGUGAUGUUCCUAGGAAGAAGUUGCUGCGGCUGAGGUCAAAGAGGUUGCCAUAUGUGUUCUCCUCAAGGAUUUUGAUGGAUUCCUGUCUCACAUUGAGGUCUUUUAUCCAUUUUGAGUCUAUUUUUGUGUGUGGUGUAAGGAAGUGGUCCGGUUUCUUUCUUCUGCAUGUGGCUGUCCAAUUUUCCCAACACUUGUUGAAGAGACUGUCUUUUUUCCAUUGGACAUUCUUUCCUGCUUUGUCGAAGAUUAGCUGACCAUACAGUUGAGGGUCCAUUUCUGGGCUCUCUAUUCUGUUCCAUUGAUCUAUGUGUCUGUUUUUGUGUACCAUACUGUGUUGAUGAUUAUAGCUUUGUAAUAGAGCUUGAAGUCUGGAGUUGUGAUGCCACCAACUUUGGUUUUCUUUUUCAACAUUCCUCUGGCUAUUUGGGGGUCUUUUCUGGUUCCAUAUAAAUUUUAGGAUUAUUUGCUCCAUUUCUUUGAAAAAAAUUGAUGGUAUUUUGAUAGGGGUUGCAUUAAAUGUGUAGAUUGCUCUAGGUAGCAUAGAUAUUUUCACAGUAUUUGUUGUGCCAAUCCAUGAGCAUGGAACGUUUUCCCAUUUCUUUGUGUCUUCCUCAAUUUCUUUCAUGAGUACUUCAUAGUUUUCUGAGUGUAGAUUCUUUGCCUCUUUGGUUAAGUUUAUUCCUAGGUAUCUUAUGGCUUUGGGUGCAACUGUAAAUGGGAUCAACUCCUUAAUUUCUCCUUCUGUCUUGUUGUUGGUGUAUAGGAAUGCAGCUGAUUUCUGUGCAUUGAUUUUAUAUCCUGACACUUUACUGAAUUCCUCUAUGAGCUAUAGCAGAUUUGGAGUGGAGUAUUUUGGCUUUUCCACAUAAAGUAUCUAUCAUCUCCAGAGAGUGAGAGUUUGAUGACUUCUUUGCUGAUUCAGAUGCCUUUUAUUUCUUUUUGUUGGCUGAUUGCUGAGGCUAGGAGUAUAGUAGUAUGUUGAAUAGCAGUGGUGAUAGUAGACAGCCCUCCUGUUUUCCUGAUCUUAGGGGACAAACUCUCAGUUUUUCCCCAUUGAGAAUGAUAUUCACUGUGGGUUUUUCAUAGAUGGCUUUGAUGAUAGAGGUAUGUACACUCUACCCUACCCUGUGAAGAGUUUUGAUCAAGAAAGGAUGCUGUACUUUGUUAAAUGCUUCUUCUUCAUCUACUGAGAGGAUUAUAUGGUUCUUGUUUUUUCUUUUCUUAAUGUAUCACAUGGAUUGAUUUGUGGAUGUUGAACCAUUCUUACAGCCCAGGAAGAAAUCCCACUUGGUUGUGGUGAAUAAUCUUUUUAAUGUACUGUUUGAUCCUAUUGGCUAGCAUUUUGGUAAGAAUUUUUGCAUCCAUUUUCAUCAGAGUUAUUGGUCUGUAAUUCUCCUUUUUAAUGGGGUCUUUGUCUGGUUUGGGGACCAAGGUAAUGCUGGCCUUAUAAAAUGUGUUUGGAAGUUUUCCUUCCAUUUCUAUUUUUUGGAACAGUUUCAGGAGAAGAGGUGUUACUUCUUCUUUAAAUGUUUGGUAGAAUUCCCCUGGGAAGCCAUCUGGCUCUAGGCCCCUGCUUGUUGGGAGAUUUUUGAUUACUGCUUCAGUUUUCUUACUGGUUAUGGGUCCAUUCAGGUUUUCUGUUUCUUCCUGGUUCAGUUUUGGUCAUUUAUAUGUUUCUAGGAUUGCAUCCAUUUCUUCCAGAUUGUCUAAUUUGCUGGCGUAUAGUUGCUCAUAAUAUGUUCUUAAAAUUGUUAGUAAUUUUUUGUUGAUUGUGAUCUGAUCUCUUUUGUUCAUGAUUUUAUUAAUUUGGGUUUUUUUCUCUUUUCUUUUUGAUAAGUCUGGCCAGGGGUUUAUCAAUUUUAUUGAUUCUUUCAAAGAACUAGCUCCUGGUUUCAUUGAUCUGUUCAACUGUUCUUAUGGUUUCUAUUUCAUUGAUUUCUGCUCUGAUCUUUAUUUCUCUUCUCCUUCUGGGUUUAGGGUUUCUAUGCUGGUUCUUUCUCCAGCUUCUUUAGGUAUAGGGUUAAGUUGUGUUUUUGAGACAUUCAUUCUUGAGAGAGGCUUAUAGUGUUAUGGACUCCCCUCUUAGGACCACCUUGGCUGCAUCCCAAAAGAUUAUGAAUGGUUGUGUUUUCAUUUGUUUUGAUGAAUUUUUUAAAUUAUUUAAUUUCUUGGUUGACCCAUUCAUACUUUAGUAGGCUGCUUUUUAGCCUCCAUGUAUUUGAGUUCUUUCCAACUUUCCUCUUCUGGUUGAGUUCUAGUUUCAAAGCAGUGUGGUCUGAAAAUAUGCAGGGAAUGAUCCCUAUCUUUGGGUACCAGCUGAGACCUGAUUUGUGACCCAGGAUGUGAUCUAUUCUGGAGAAUGUUCAUGUGCAAUUGAGAAGAAUGUGUAUUUGUUGCUUUGGGAUGGAAUGUUCUGAAUAUAUCUGUGAAGUCCAUCUGUUUCAGGGUGUCAUUUAAACCCCUUAUUUCCUUGAUCUUUUACAUAGAUGAUCUGUCCAUUUCAGUGAGUGGAGUAUUAAAGUCUCCUACCAUUAUUGUAUUAUUGUUGAUAUGUUUCUUUGAUUUUGUUAUUAAUUGGUUUAUAUAAUUGGCUGCUCAAAUGUUAGGGGCAUAGAUAUUUACAAUUGUUAGAUCUUCUUGUUGGAUAAACUUUGUUUAUCCAAUCUGUAUCAAUCAGUCAAUCUGAUACAUUCCAUAUCUGUAGGUAUGAAAUAGUGUCCUUCCUCAUCUCUUAUUAUAGUCUUUGACUUAAAAUUUAAUUUGUCUGAUAUGAGGAUUACUGCCCCAGCAUUCUUUUGAUGUCCAUUAGCAUGGUAAAUGUUUUUCCACCCCCUCACUUUAAAUCUGGAAGGGUCUUUGGGUCUAAAAUGAGUCUCUUGCAGACAACGUAUCAGUGGGUCUUGUUUUUUUAGCCAAUAUGAUACCCUGUGUGUUUUGAUUGGGGCAUUUAGCCCACUUACAUUCAGGGUAACUAUUGAAAGAGAUUAAUUUAAUGCCAUUGUAUUGCCUAUAAGGUCACUGUUACUAUAUAUUGUCUCUGUUCCUUUCUGGUCUGUGUUACUUUUAGGCUCUCACUUUGCUUCGAGGACCCCUUUCAAUAUUUCCUAUGGGGCUGAUUUGGUGAUCACAGAUUCUUUUCAUUUCUGUUUGUCCUGGAACCCAAAUUGCUUUUGAAUAAAGAUGUAUUCUUCCCUCCGGAAAUGUAUAUACAGACGGAUUUAUAGAGCCAAAGAUAAGGCCUUCACAUUCCUAACACGUAAAACGGUAUUGGGUCAAUAGGACCAUAUGUCAAAAUACUGAAACCAAAGAUCAAAGGACCCAGGCAAAGCUCUUCCCUUCCUCUGGCUUCACUUAUGGGUAUAAAUGGGAGGGAGGUCAACAGUGCUCUGAAACCAGAUCAAAGCCUAACUUCUCACUGGAGUCUGCCAUUCCCCGCUCCACCCCUUCCCAGCAUGUCAAUGCUGGAAUGAGAUUAGGGAUGUUGAUCCAGUUCAGGUGACCUUGGGCAGGUCACAUAGCCUUUCUUCGCUUGAUUUCCUCCCCUGAGAAAUGAGAGGCGCUGGACUAGCACUAGAUGAUCUUCAGGCUCCUUUAGUGUUGGGAGCUCCAAAGCCUUUACAACAUGGCUGGGAUACGCCACAAACAGGAAGUCAGGAGUCCAGAAAGGAAAAAAUGCCGCCCCUCAAUUCGCUCAAAUAGGAAACUUACAAACUCCAAAAGCCAAGAUUAAAAACCCAAAAACAUCACAGUGAUCUCAUUCAUGGUUGAGGUCAGAGACAACCACUUAGGGAAGAGUAAAAUGUCAUUUGGUUCGACUCUCAUUAUUUCUAGAUGCACAGUUUAAUUUCAGAACAUGCAUUCAGUUUUCCCAGUACCUGAUCCUCCACUAGUGUUUAUGAACAGUUUGAAUGAAUUAAUGAGGAUUCAACUCUAUAGACCACUCACAUCUCCAGCCAGCUUUUUUUUUUUUAAAGGUUUUAUUUAUUUAUUUGACAGAGAUCACAAGCAGGCAGAGAGGCAGGCAGAGAGAGAGAGGAAGGGAGGCAGGCUCCCCGCCAAGCAGAGGGCCUGACAUGGGGCUCGAUCUCAGGACUCCGGGACCAUGACCUGAGUGAAAGGCAGAGGCCUCAACCCAUGGAACCACCCAGGCACCCCUCCAUCCAGCUUCUAAAGAAUCCCUCCUUAGCACCUCUCUCGGAAAGAGAAACAAGGAAGGAGGAACAAGCCAGAGCCUUCUAACCCAGAACACCAAUGACAGUUGUCUUCAGGAGAAAAUAAGUAAGUUACAAGCGCAUGUGCAUCUCUUCUAAAGCCUGAGUCAUCCUUCCUGUUGUAAUAACAUCUGCAGGGCUUCCUGAGAGCCAGCAGUGCGGUGAGUCAGACCCUCGGAGAAGGUCCGAAAGCUGGAACAGCCAGAGCUCCCAGUCUGAGGGGCCUGCUCUGUUUCUGGUCGGCUCCCACUCAUAGUCUUUUUUGUCCUCUUUGUCCUCAGUUAUGGGCCUUUGCCUGGAUGAGGAUGCCAGCCCUCAUCGCAACCUUUUCUACUGCCCCUGGAAUGAAUUCACCCAUCUCAUCUGGGAAAUUGUGUGUACUGUAAUGAAGAAAAAGCCUGUACUUUUGGAGACCUAGAAUCUUACUUAUGCUAAUAAGCUUUUGACUGCGAUUUCGUGGUCCAGUAUUUCCUGCUGGCAUCUUGGUGGUCCCACGGAGCUCCCCACCCUCCAGUGAAGAUGGCUGUCCACAACUACCACCGUUGAAACCAAAGGUAAGUGUUGAAAAAUGCACCUUUUACAAUAAAAAAGUAGAAACCAAUUCAAUUUCCUUUUUUUUUUUUUUUACGAAUAUAAAGUUUCUUGUAAAUAUGUACAGUCUUUUGAGCUAGUUCUAUAGCAGGAAGCAUUUCACAGAUGAGACACACGAUAUACACUUUCCAGGCUCAAGAAGCCCAUUUCUCAUGGAGAUCCUAAAUGAAAUGCCAAGACUGAAAGACCAAUUUUCAGUGACCUUUCCAAAUACUUGUGGACCAAGAGACAAAAACUUCAGCAAACAUUCAGUCUGAUCUGCCCUGGGGAGGGGAGGAAUGCAGCAUGACCCCAAAGACGCCAAGCAACGCAUAAAACAACAGCGUGACACCUGCCAAGGGUGUAACAACAUGGAGGGAGGGACACAGGCGUUCCAAACAAGAAAGCACUUAGGUUAAGAGACAAGCAGGAAGGAGCUGGGAUUUGGGCCAGGUUGCAAUCUGGAAAGUGAUCUGAACUAUGGACAACGUGGGGUUGCAAUGUGGCCAAGUUCACCUGCGGUGGUGGAAACAGGUCUACCUUUCAGCCUACCUAGGAUGUGCCUUGGUCGUUCGAGGCAUGCCUAAGAGUCACGCAGAAUCUGAAGCAAGAGGUGCCUUGUGGGAGAUUAAAGGCAGAAGUAAGGCCGCUAGUUAGCUUGCCAACUGCAGAGCCUCUGGGUUGCUUCUUGACCAGUUGCCAGGAAUUUUGCCUUCUGGUAGCAGGCGGCGAGAAACCGUGUGAGCUGCGCGGCACCUAAGGGAGGACCUUCCGACCCCGGCAGAGGCAGAGGAGGGGCCGCAGUGCUCUGGAACUUCCUGGUCCUCGGCUAGCCCUAGGGAAAGGCUCACUUGGGAAGUCACAGUUUUGUGGGGUAGAACCGUGCUGGAUGUUGUGUGAACACAGAGUCGUCCACGAGGGAGUCAGGGAAGCGUGAGGGUGUGAGGUGUGGUUUGCUGAAAUCCUUCUCUGGUCGUAAGGCUUGAGCGUUUGGUUUUUUUGUUUGUUCAGUGCUACAGACUGCAGCUUGUUGUGGCCAGUGAGUUGGCAAGUGGUCAGAGGGAGCUAUGGUAUGUACUAGUACAUCGGCAGAGCAACCCAAGGGGGGCAGCCAGAUCGGGGGGCAGCACAUGCAGUGAACCGCCAUGCAGAACUCCUGGACGGGUCUCUUCGCAUCCCAGGGUGGGGAACAACGCACUGUCGUGGACAGGAGGUGGGCACCCCCGGUCCCCUCCCGGACCCAGAGACUCAUUAAUGCUGGGCUCCGAGCAAGUCUAUUGCAUGCUUUCCUGGCCAGAGCUACGUGGAAAGCAGGGACAGCAGUCUGGGGAGAUGACGCUGAGGGGCAGGGAGGGAGAGCUACUCGAGGUCCCUUGGCCCCAAGUCACUGCCUCCGAGCUGAGGCCCGAUGACCUCCGUACAUUCUCAGCUGGUGGGAGGGGAAGUCGUCAAGGCCAUAAAAGGCAAUGAGAACAGUAAACAUUUGGCUAAGAUGUCACCCUGGUCAAACAGGGCCAUCUGCGCGGAUGGACUGGGACAAGAAUGAACCUACAUGAGCGCAGGAGGUUAGCCAACUGGCGGGGACUCUUCCACGAUACGUUUCCGGAGCAAAGACCUGAUGGUGUGAUCUAGCUAAAAAUGACUACAACAGGAAAUACAUUGCUAUUCAAAUCUAUUAAGAAUUCUGUUGUCUUUUUUUUUUUUUUUUUUUUAAAAAAAAGAAAAAGAAAAAAGGAAAUCCAACCAACCCUAGGAUCUUAAAGUAGCUAUUAAAUAGGAUUCUAACCACAUCGUAGUUAGUGCAGGUUGGUUUCCUCUGAUGAACCGGUACAGGCUAGAGCUAGGUAUAAAAGUUGAUGAAUGCUCUGAAAGAGUAACAAAGUGCACAGAGGAUGACUGCAGGAAGGCGCUGGCAGCUCGGAGGAGCUCGGCCCCUGCACCCCCUGGAUGCAGGCUGUCCGCACGGAGGCAGGUCUGGGCCCAGCUGUGCCUUGGGGUGGCUGAGCAGAUGGGUGCUGGGGGCCCCGUCAGCGGAGUUCCUUAGAGUGGUGUUUUCCUGCAGGUUAAGAUGAGGAGUUGGUUUUCCUGGCUGAGAUUUACACUGAAGACUGGUCCCAGACCUAGGAGCAAAAGGAGGAGUUUUAGCUCCGGGGGCCAAGAGUCCCUGGGCUUGCCCCGCACGAUCCCGGCAGGACACGUGCCGUGCUUGGUCUCUCUGCGGCCGGUAACACCGAGCGCCGCCCAGGCUGGCACCAGUGAGCAGAGCCAUGCUGCGGAGCUUGGGGUUCAUCAGGGAAUGAAAAAUCACAGAAAAUUCUCCAAAGCUUUGGAUGGAUCUCUGUUAAACACACAUACGCUGGACCCUUUUUAUCGUAUUUUGCAGACCCUCGAAGGCACAGAAGGAAGUCUUCUCUUACGGGCUGAGGCUACUACGAGACCCUUGAUACAAGGGAGCAAUUUUGAGAAAGCCUGCACUCAUCACUGCCAGCAGCCCUAUCUGUCCCCCUCCUCGGCCUAGUGCUCGGUCACCUCUCUUUCCAGGUGGCUUUCCAAGCCUCCUUGGCACCCAGUGCUGAGGUGAAAGGUGUGGGGAUCAGACCGGACAGAAUCAGAAACCUGAGCAGGACAAAUAAAAAUGGUACAGUUGGCACAAAACGUGUCCCUGGCCCCAAAGGUUGAUAGUAAUAACCAAACAACUGAAAACACUGCGCCUUUCUGUAUGGCCCAUCCAGCCUCCACCCAGCUCCAGCUUGGGUAUUUCAAACAAAGAUUUCAGCAAAUACAGCCCUAACCAUUCUCUCUGAAGAAGCAAGAUCCAGAACAGAACUGAGUCAAUUCCUUCCCACUCUAAUGAGCAGAAAAAGUACUCAAUCCUCAUCACCUCCGCACAAUCAGGGCUAGGAAAAGGGCUACUUAAAAUGGGUACAUUUUAUAGAGAAUAUUAUUUGGAAAACAUAUUUUGAUUGAUUGGGGCUUUAUCACAGAAAAUAAAGCAGAAAUCAGGAAAGUAAAUGUAUCCUUGUUAUUUUUAAAAUCUAAAUUACAAUUGGAAUUUCAUGCCGAUUCUAAGAGUGAGCCAAGCAUGAAUCACAUACUGAUUUAUCUUGCUCUAAUUUUUGCAACAAAACAGUAUGCUAAUAGGCUCAAUGACAUACUUUCCAUCAAUGUUAGACUUUUGCAGUAGAGUCAAAGUCAUUUCUUCAAAACUGUUUGAGAGUGUUACUGAUUUUCCCAGAGGCCUAUCUUAAUCCUUGAUAUUUAAAUUCUUCUCUUUGAAAGGCGCCAAACUUCUUGUUAUUGUUUCCUUCAGUUUUUGACCUAACUGCCAGAAUCAGUUUUGUCAAUGCCCAUAAUUAGAAACAAGAAAAGCAAUGACACCUACUGGGGGAGGAGAGACUCUGUAGAGCAAGCUUGAGGGCCAAAUCCAGACAGAUGACCCGUUUUUAUAAAUAAAGUUUUAUUGGAACACAGCCAUGCCCAUCUGGUUAUGCACUGUCUAUAGCUUUCACAGAAUAAUACCUGAAUAAUUAAGAGAGGCCAUAUGGCCCACAAAGCCAAAAAUAUUUACUACCUUAUUUUUUUUUAAGAUUUUUUUAUUAUUAUUUAUUUAUUUGACAGAUCACAAGUAGGCAGAGAGGCAGGUAGAGAGAGAGGGAUGAGGAAGCAGGCUCCCUGCUGAGCAAAGAGCUGGAUCCCAGGACCCUGGGAUCAUGACCUGAGCCGAAGGCAGAGGCUUUAACCCGCUGAGCUACCCAGGCGCCCUGUACUAUCUGUACCUUUACAGAAAAAGUUUGCCUAUUCCUGCACAAUAGUGAAACAGAAAGGUGAGUAGAGAUAAUUUGAUAAGUGAUCAGUUCAUUGUGAAGAUUUUCAUGUGACUCUCUGGUUUCCCUGUGCAAUUCUAACUAUGAAGAUUCCAGACAACAUAUCCAGAAAGCCAGAAGCGCCCCCCCACCCCCGUGCAUGCUACAUGUCCAGUGGAAAAAUUUAAGGUAACUGAGAUUUGAAAUAAGGCUAAUAUUCCUCUCUAGUCAUGUCGCUUUAAGAUGUGGGAGACAAAAAUAAAUAAAUUUCAAGAGGAGAAUUACAUUAAGCCUAUUUGUAAUGGAAGGGAAAUUAUAAUGUGUGUCCACAGAGGCCCAUCAUAAAGCAAGUGAGAAGGUACUCAGUGUCCAGGGGAAGAAGGAUGUCUCUAGGAAGACCAUUUGGAAUGUCAGCUUAGAUUAAUGGAAUGAAAGAAAAUACCCAUCAUCCUAGGCCAAAUGGGCAAUCUUCCAUCUCUGUAUGCAUUAAUGACCAAUGAUCUCCCGUGCCAGUUUUAUGGGGUUUUUGUUUGUUUUAUUUUGUUUUUGAAAAGAGUUACAUUUCCUGCUAAACAGACCAGGUCAGUGAGGUCUUGCAGUGACUCACACUCAGCCAGGCCAGGCCUCUGCAUCCUGACCUGCCAAAGCAAUCUACAAUAAGAAGACCAUUUUAUAGGCCAAGAGAUAAGCAAGGACUAACUGCUUAUUUUCCGGAUGUGUCUGGCCACAGCAGGAAAACAACAGUACUGUCUCUGCUUCUCGUUCACAGGCACUGGAGAACCCCUUUCAACCACAGAAUAAGCAACUUCUUACAGAGAAACUGUUUAGUCUCAAAAGAAAAGUGCCUGCCCUCAUAUUAGUAAGGCAGUAGAGGAAAAAAAAUCAAAUUACAGUACUUUGAUUUGU